UCUCCUGGUUUUAAUGCUAGAAUUGUAAACUCUGAAACAAAAUAGAGUAUCUUCUUUUCUAACUUGGUUUCUGUAAUACCAACAGAGAUAAAAUCCCAUUGUGACAUACAUACUCUUCUGUUUCCUAGACAUAAGAUUUCCACUUCUUUUGGGUCAAAUCAUACAUUAUUAAUCAAUUUCUAGAGAAAAUUAUCUGAUUAAGAUUCCUAUUAAUUAAAAAAUUCCUUCUUUCAUAUUACUCACUUUUCUAAGUUUGUGUGCAGUUUGAGUCAAGUAGUGCUGGGUUCAGUACACUUCUUGUUUUGUUUUUCAGCUACUUAUUUCAGAAUAAAUCAAUUUGGCAUCUGGAAAUCUGAAGUGUUUUGUCACUAGAGCUUAUGCCUGUUGCUCAAAUCAGAACAGAGGGACCAUGUUUUUUCAAAAGGAUAAUGUCAAGAUCAUGGUCAUUUCAGAACAACAGUUUACAGUCUGGAGCGGUGACUGUUCCAUGGAUCUCAGAAUAACAGAUUAUCCCUGUGUUCAUCCAGACACAAACUGGAAGAUGUUUGCUAAUACAGCUCACUAAUUACAAUUUCCUCCCCCUCAAAAUUAGUUAUUUCCAUUAUUGUUUCAAUUUAUAAUUUUUCAAAUAAAAACUUUCCCUCUAUUUAGUAGA